AAACAAUGCCGAUAUUUUAAUUAUAAACUAAAGAUUUGAAAAGAAGCAUAGACAAAUUUACUCCUACUCACCUGUAAUUGAGAAUGUAAAUACUAAUUAGCUGGUGUUGAUUUCCCAAAGGUGCCUUCGUGAGAACACGGUUGCUGGCCUGGUGGGUCUGAGCAUCCCACCCUGUGCAGUAAUCUGUCUCCAGAAGCAAGCAGUGGUAGGUGCUGAAGAGCUCUCUUUCACAAGACCUGGCUGCUCCAAUGUGCCUGACAGACAUGCAGCACAAGUCUGACCACUCAGUAUUCAGGCACAAAGAGAGGAUGACCCUUGUCAGGAUUUUAUUGAUGUAAUUGAAGGAUUUUGGAUUAGAGAGGGAGUUAGGAACGAGGGUAGUGAGGGUGCUAGUGUUUGAUGGAUUCUGGGCUCUGCUUGGAUGGGUCAUUUCACUGGAUUUAAUACAGUUAUCCUCAGAAAUGCACACAUUUUACCCUUCAGGUUGAACAGUUAUAAAAUAUGAGGAAGGCUGGAUUAAACUGGGUUAGCAACAAAAAAAAUUACACAACUUUGCUAGUGUUCAGCACUCAGGCAUUACACAACCUUCUACCUCUCUAGUGUUUAGUAGCUGUUUAUUUGAAAUCAUUUUAUGCCCAAGGUUAAGAUUCCAUUUAAUGAAAACAAAAUGUAGAAAAUGUGAACUCUAGACACAAGAGAUUUGAGAAUAAAUGUAGCUGUAUGGGCUAGAUUUAUUCUCUCCUUCCUUUCCCCAUCUUCACCCUUUAUUUUUUCCACAGAAUCUAACCAGCACCCUUAUUCUCCUUUCAUUUUUUAUAAAAUAUGCUGUGAUGGAUCAUGUCACAACUACUUAAGCAGCAGCACAGUGAAACAGCAUUUCAAUAAUUGUUAAAACUGCACAGAAUGCUAUGCUGUGACUGCUACUGGAUAUGUCUUAUCCAUGAGCAUGUGAAAAUAUGAAUAUCAUGGUCCAUAAAUAUUUAUCUGGGGGAAAAAUUCUGACAAUAGAAGUCUUAAUCUAGCAGACUUCAUAACAACAUUCAUCUCUGGAAAAAUUCAGAUAAGAAAUACUGCAUUUUUUUAAUUAUUUUUAUUUAAUAGAAGCUGUAAUUAAUCACUAGAAUAAUUUGUCCAAGGGAUGUUCUGGCUUCUCUGUCACAUGGAGUUUUAAAAUCAAGAUUAAAAUGUCAGCCUAAAAGAUUUACUGUAAUCAGCUAGAGGUUAUUGGACUUGAUGCCACAAUUAAUAGGCAAACUUCUCUGACAGUAGUAAAUGGGAAAUUUGGUUAAAAGACUCUAUCUCUUCCUUUCGACCUUGCCACAUCUGACUUUAUGGUAUCAGUCAGCCUGAGCUUAUAAAUACUAAAGAGAUACUUGAAAGGAGUUAAGCAGUGGACAGGAGUUUCUUUGACAUAUGGAGUGGGCAAGGUCUUGGGCAAGCUUCUCUAGCUGACCCUGCUCUGGGUGGUGGAUUUGGACUGGAUGAUCUCCAGAGGUCCCAUCUGUGGUCUUAUAGUAUCAGUGCAUUUUUCCCAAGUAAUCUUCAGCAUUUGGGACUAGCAGACAUCUGCUCAUCCUCAAACUGAGCGGAACUGGGGAUGUUGUCCAGAUCUCUUUAACAAGGACCCUCAGACUACUCAUUGAUGCUCACUGUUUUCCAAACAGCAGUUUGACAGCCUGUUAAUAACCUGUGAUGCCAUUAAGAAGGCAUGCAAAACACACCCUUUGUCUAUCUGUCCAUUUCUGUCACAUAGUCAUUGUUUACCCUUUAUUACAAAUUAUAACUAUGAUUACAUAUGUACUGGGUUUGCAUGGCAAGGCUUUGGUAGAGGGGCUUUGCAGGGGUGGCGUUUCUGAGAAGAGUCCAGCAGCUGCCCCAUGCUAAAUAAGGACCUGUUUCAGCUGGCUCCAAAGGGACCUGUCACUGGCCAGAGACAAGCAAUAAGCAAUACUGUACACCUCUGAGAGUAAAUUUAAGAAAGGGGAAAAAAAUGCUGCACAACAGCAGCUGGGAAAUACGAGGUGACUUGCAGACACCAAUGUUAGUACAGAAAGAGGACAGGAGGUGCUCCAGGCAUGGAGCAGAAGUUCCCCUGUGGCCUGUGGAGAGGCCUCUGGUGGAGCAGGCUGUCUCCCUGCACCCAUGGGUCCCACAAGGAGCAGAUCUCCACGCUGCAGCCCAUGGAAGAGCCCCCAGUGGAGCAGGUGGAUGUGGCCUGGAGGAGGCUGCAGCCCUUGGAGAGCCCCUGCAGAAGCAGGCCCCAGGCCAGAACUGCAGCCCGCGGAGAGGAGCCCACGCUGGAUCAGUUCGGGAAGGACAGCAUCCUGUGGGAGGGACCCCAUGUGGAGCAGGAGCAGGCAGUGGCUGUGAAGAAGCAGCAGAGAUGAAAUGCUAGGGACUGACCAUAGCCCCCAUUCCUCUGUGCUGCUUGGGGGGAGGACAUGAAAGAGGAUGAAUGGGAGGAAGGUGGUUUUUUAGUUUGUUUUUAGUUUCUUGCUGCUCUAGCUUGUUAGCAAUAGGGAAUAAAUCACAUUAAUCUCUCUGUGCUGAGUCUGUUUUGACUGUGAUGAUAAUUGUUGAGUAAUCUCCAUCUUUAUCUUAACCUUUGAGCUCUUUUCAUCAUAUUUUGCCCCCUUUUUCUUUGAGGAAGAGGAGUGGUUGUGGUGAAGCUCAAGUUACCUAGCUGAAUAAAACCAACCAAAACUUUUAAAAGAAAAUAGCUUCUCCCUGUUCCUCAACAAGUGAAUAGGUGCAGGAAUAAACCUACUUGAAAAAUGGUGGAACAGAUGAGAAG